rnacentral:ncRNA from 2 species
UCCGGUGCGAAUCCGGUGCGGUCCCGCCACUGUGACCGCGGCUCACUGAGCCGUGGGAGCCAGGA